AUGAAUCACGAAGAUGGCAAUGCUCCUUCAGAUACAGCAGAGUACAGUCAACUCAUUUCUGCAGGGCCGUUGCUGCCACUACUAGAGCAGUACGCAGGCGUUGGUAUGAUGCAUGAUAACAAGAAAAGAACAUUUGCCAUGUUCGCGAUGAUGAAGAUGACAUUCUACUUCUGUCCUACAAUGUCAUUUUUCACAGGUUCUUAUGACCAAAACACAUUCAGGGGGGCACCAUGGCAAGUUCAGUCACAGGGCGCUAACACCGACAAAUGUACGGGCAACCAACUUCAACUAGCUAAUGUGGCAAAUCAAGGACCUUCAUGCAGCACGUGGCAUCAGGCGGCAACCAUGUACCUGCCAUCGACGUCAUACAUAGGUUGUUACGGUGGGACUACAUCGACAAAUGUCUCUUGGCAAGCUUCACAGAUGCAGCACAUCGCUAUUGCAGAUAGAGCACAUCAAAUUGGAAUGACAGACCACAGAAGAUGGGCACAUGCGGCACAACAAGGACCUUCAACUACAAUCAACAGCGGUACGGGGACAUCUACUGCAGGGAGCUCUGAGCGCACGGAAGACGCGUUCCACCAGCCAGCCAACAAUCAUGCCACAAACAAUGCCGAGUCAGUGUCGGAAAUGGCAGUCAUUCCAGCAAUGACGACAACCGCACCUUUGAACACCAACACUAGCAACACUCAAGUAGAUGAAAGUGCCGCCGAUACUAAAGUGAAUGAUGAAACUGAUGAUGAAGCACAACGAGAUGAAGAUGGUGGGCAAACAGAAAUCAUGGUACCUCAGCCACCGUACGUUGGGCAAAGAUUUGAUUCGUUCGCAGAAGCAAAGGAAUUCUACCAGACAUAUGCAAAGUUCCAUGGGUUUGCGGUCAACACCGAAUACCAUAGGAAAAUUAAAAAAACUAACGAGUAUAGCAAAGAUGGAGCACGGUGGGUGGUCAUUGAAUAUUUUGAUGAGCACAACCACGAACUCAUAAAGAAGUUCGACGUGGUAAAAUUUCUGACCACCCACAGAGGAUUCACCCCCCUCGAGAAGAAAUUCAUAAAGCUGCUACAUGAUUGGAACGUCGGUCCAUCAAGAAUGGUCCAGAUACUAUCACUCAUCCACAGCAAAAAUGGGACUUUGAGUAGCAUGCCCUAUAUACCAGCUGACGUCACAAACCUAAAGGCAAAGUACCAUAGAGAGAGCAAGUUGGCUGACAUAGAGGCCAUGAUGGCCUACUUCGAUGAGAAAGCGAAGGAAGAUCCAGAUUUCUUCUACAGGAUAAGAUUGGACGAUGAGGAUGUCAGGAACGUGUAUUGGGUGGAUGGUGCUGCAAGAAGAGCCUACAAACAUUUUCGAGAUUGCAUUUCAUUCGACGCGACAUAUCUCACUAAUAUGUACAAGAUGUCAUGCGCUCCAUUCAUAGGAAUAAAUAACCACAAUCAGCCAUUGCAGUUCAGAUGCGGGCUCGUUCGGAAUGAAUACACAAAUGGGUACACUUGGCUAUUCAAGACCUUUUUGGAGUGCAUGGAUGGACUUGCUCCGAUGAACAUAAUAACAGACCAAAAUUUUAGCAUGCGUGCAGGCAUAGAGGAGGUCUUUCCGUUGGCAGUGCACAAGCACUGCAGGUGGCACAUUAUAAAGAAGGCUGAGGAGACGCUAGGACCGUUCUUUGCUGACCAUCCAGAGCUGCACAAGGCAUUCGAGCUGUGCGUGGACCAUAGCUUGACGGUGGAGGAGUUUGAAAGGAGCUGGAUGGCCAUGAUUGAAACAUAUCAAGUCCAAGACAACGAGACGCUUUGCUUCUUCCCUUUUCUGCAGACUACGCAGCACAGCGAGGGGUUCAAUGCUGUUUUGAAGCGGUACGUGAGCCCUGGCAACUCAUUGCUACAGUUUUCCAAGCAAUACACAACUUCGCCACAAAAAAUACUGGGAUCUGAGCUACAGCAAGAAGCGAACACUGCGCUAAAGCAUCCAAAAUUGCUAACGUAUUUACUGAUGGAGAGGCACAUGAGCAAGAUAUGCACCAACAAGAUCUUUAACAAGUAA
rnacentral:rRNA from 1 species